UACGGAGGGUGCAAGCGUUAUCCGGAUUUACUGGGUUUAAAGGGUGCGUAGGUGGGUUGGUAAGUCAGUGGUGAAAUACUUUCGCUUAACGAAGGAACUGCCAUUGAUACUACCAGUCUUGAAUACAGUGGAGGUAGGCGGAAUGCGUCAUGUAGCGGUGAAAUGCGUAGAUAUCUGGAGGAACACCGGUGGCGAAGGCGGCAUCCUGGACCGACACUGACGCUGAGGAGCGAAAGCCAGGGGAGCAAACGGG
rnacentral:rRNA from 1 species